CCAUCUUCCUCUUCUCUGAACUCUUCAUACUCGAUAAGCUCUGCUUUAAAAGAUUGAGGCAGAGCAUAUACCAUAUUCACCUCAGCCGGCGACUCUUCGGCCGACUUUCCUUUAAUUCUCUGUUUCUUCUCUUCCAACUCCUUGGCCGUUUCGGCUGAAGAGUCACUCUCCAUCCGGACCUCCCUUUCCUUAGGGGCCCAUCUUUCUCUCUUGAUCAUCGUUUCGAGGGAAGCUAUUUUGUCUUCUAACUUCUUUCUGGUCAUUUUUUCUU
rnacentral:lncRNA from 1 species